UACUGAGGCCUUAGUAGGUGGUUUUCC
rnacentral:piRNA from 1 species